rnacentral:rRNA from 1 species
AGAGUUUGAUCAUGGCUCAGAUUGAACGCUGGCGGCAUGCUUUACACAUGCAAGUCGAACGGCAGCACGGGAGCUUGCUCCUGGUGGCGAGUGGCGAACGGGUGAGUAAUGCACCGGAACGUACCCAGUAAUGGGGGAUAACACAUCGAAAGAUGUGCUAAUACCGCAUACGCCCUGAGGGGGAAAGCGGGGGAUCGUAAGACCUCGCGUUAUUGGAGCGGCCGAUGCCGGAUUAGCUAGUUGGUGAGGUAAGAGCUCACCAAGGCGACGAUCCGUAGCUGGUCUGAGAGGACGACCAGCCACACUGGGACUGAGACACGGCCCAGACUCCUACGGGAGGCAGCAGUGGGGAAUUUUGGACAAUGGGCGCAAGCCUGAUCCAGCCAUGUCGCGUGAGUGAAGAAGGCCUUCGGGUUGUAAAGCUCUUUCGCAAGGAAAGAAAACUUAUCUACUAAUACUAGGUGAGGUUGACGGUACCUUGAUAAGAAGCACCGGCUAACUACGUGCCAGCAGCCGCGGUAAUACGUAGGGUGCGAGCGUUAAUCGGAAUUACUGGGCGUAAAGCGUGCGCAGGCGGUUUUGUAAGUCAGAUGUGAAAUCCCCGGGCUCAACCUGGGAACUGCGUUUGAAACUACAAGGCUAGAGUGUAGAAGAGGGGGGUAGAAUUCCACGUGUAGCAGUGAAAUGCGUAGAGAUGUGG